AAAGAAUUAGUUAAUCAAUAACAUAAAUAUGUCAAAUUUAAAUUAUUACAAUAUUAAAGUAAUAUUCUUUU
rnacentral:tRNA from 1 species